GAGAAAAGACAGGCCACUCCUGCAUGACCUGAACGCUUGAAGAGCUGAACAGCUUUGCAAAGAGUCACAGAGAGAAGAAACCCAACAGUUGGCGUCAUGCUUUUAAUCAUCAUCAAACCGGAAGAAAGAGAUUUCAGGAAAACUGAAGUGACACGGCACACCCAAAUAAUUACUGUCAAAUAUUAUCAUAUUCACACUGCCUGUGUUUUCUUUGGUUGUAAU